CACAGAAGUACUUCCCCCAUCAUCUCCUCUUUUCUGUCUAAAAUAAAAAGAAGGGUAACUUAUCUUUUAUAAUAACUGAAGAAAACUAUAACCAUAAUUAUCUGUCUUCAACUCUAUCAAAGACCACAGAAGGAAAAUAUAUGAACUCUAGAAUUGACAGAGACUUCUCGCUACCUGGACAGUCACCCAAAGUUCCUCUGUAAUGUUGGGGCAUCCAUCUUCAGCCCAUAGGCCACAGUGUGUCUGGCACACUUCUCCAUUUCAGCUGGAACCCUUCAGUACUGUCUUGUUUUGAAUGGCUGGCCAGCACUACCCGGAAUGAAUGGAUCAUAGUGAUGAGUGCAACCCUUGAACAACUCUCAAGCUGUGCCCUUCUUGAGUCCCUCCUGCUGACCUUGGGCAGCCCUGUGCUUGCUAGGUAAGGUAAGCUCCUGGGCAUUUUUCUACUUGGUUUACUUUUGUCCCAUAAGAGAAAACAGUACUA
rnacentral:lncRNA from 1 species